GCUCGAGGGGCGGGCGGCCCGCGGCGCCCUCCCUCGAUCGGAAAACCCCCUAUGCAGCCGCCGGGCCAGAAUUGACGCUCCGCUGCCGGAGUCGCGGCUGCCUUUCGCCAUGAGCUGCCUGGAUGUGAUGUACCAAGUCUAUGGUCCUCCCCAGCCGUACUUCGCAGCCGCCUAUAGCCCUUACCACCAGAAACUAGCCUUUUACUCGAAGAUGCAGGAAGCCGCGGAGAGCGCCAGCACAAGUGGCAGCAGUGCCAGCAGCUCCUUCUCCAGCCACACAGCCCCUGCCAGCAUCAAAGAGGAAGAGUGCAGCCCGGAGAAAGAGCGCCCCCCGGAGGCCGAAGUCAUCAGUUCCAGAUGCGUCUUGUUCACCUAUUUCCAAGGGGACAUCAGUGCUGUGGUGGACGAGCACUUCAGCCGAGCCCUCAGCCAGCCCAGCAGCUACUCACCCAGCAGUUCCAGCACGAAGGCUGCCAUGAGGAGCUCCAGCUCUUGGAGGGAUGGAUCAUUCCCCAUGAGCCAACGCAGCUUCCCACCUUCCUUCUGGAACAGCACGUACCAGCCCUCUUCAGUGCCUGCGUCCCUGGGCAGCCCACUGUCAGCCACUGCCCACAGUGAACUGCCCUUUGCCACAGCGGACCCUUACUCUCCAGGCUCACUGCACAGCCACCUCCACCAGGGCCCCCCGGAGCCCUGGCACCCUGCCCAUCACCACCACCAUCACCACCACCACCCUUACAUUGGAACACAGAGCUCAGCCUACCCUCGGCCCACCACUGUGCAUGAGGUCUACGGCCCUCACUUUGACCCUCGCUACGGCUCCCUGCUGGUGCCCGCCGCUUCUGUGCGCCCCCACCGCCUCACACCCGCCUCAGUGCCCACGCCUGUCAGCCCUCCGUGCGAGCUGGGCAAGAGUGAGCCUGCCACUUCAGCGUGGACAACGCCAGCACCUUUCGCCAGUCCUGCAGGGGAAAUGGCACAGAGUUUAGGUCUCAAUGUGGACACAGGAAAGAAUUCUGGAUUCUACAAUUCAAAAGACUAAGGGUGAAACCAAUUAUCCCUGUAGGGGCCUAGUUGUAAAUAAAACUGGUCACAUCUCUUGUUUACAGCCUCAGGAUAAAAGCAAGGACCUCUAUUGGUUUUAGACCUGCCCUUCCACCUUUUCUUCUUCCCCUCUAGUCAGAUCUCUGCCUAAGUAGGACUGGUGGUGACAGAGCUGAAUCGAGUCGAUUUGUAACAGCUUCUGAUCUUGGUUUACAGCUCGCCGUUAUUCCUUCUGUGGUGGAUCCCUCCUGAGCUGAACUGCUGAUUCUAAAGCGUUCCCAACCACCCCACAACUCCAUCUUCUUUGUCCCCCUCCAUCUUUCAGUAUCUCGUGUCACAUUUCAAGGACAAGAAUUCAGUGGGAGCUAAAAGCUGCUUAGACUUCAACUUUCAACCAACAGGACCUAAGAUGAUGAUGGGGUGAUGAUGGGGUUGGGCACACCCUCUCUUCUCUUGAAAGGGAAGCGUGGCUCCACAUCCAUGAAGAGUGGCCAGGCCAUUCUAAAGAAUCAAGAUGGACAAAGAAGGACUUUGAAAUUGCUGGCUUUAGGAAGCAAAAUGUGUUUGCUGCUGGCACGAUGGCAUGGACUUGUCUUUUUGACUGACAUUUUUUAAAAAACACAAAAACCCACCUCCACAGUCCUUUUUCAAAGCAGCAUGAGAAGAUAUUCAGACGUUGCAAAUGGGAUUGUUGUCCUUCCCACUGUAGAAACAAAGAAAGGAAUUCUAAACUCCUAGGCACGUUUGGGUUUUUUUUUUUUAAUGGAGAGACCUUUCAGUCUUCAGCAUGGUGAUGAGUGGCAAGUGACUAGCACAGGCCACCUGCCCUCCCGGCUUACACAAAUGCAGCUGUUCAAGAGACAACUGUUCGAAUUCUAGAAACUUGACAACUAAGGUGGCACUUCUCCGAGUUUGGCACAACAAUUGCAUUGGAUAAUGCAUCCAUCCAUAUGUGUAUAUAUAAGGUUUUUAUACAAGGAACGUUUUAUGAUGAAAGAAGAGACCCUUCAAAAAAGAAAAGAAAAGAAAAGGCUCCAAAAGCAACAACUGGAGAAAAUUGGGGUGGGGAAGUAAUUGGAUAGACAAAGGACCCCAUUUAAUAUGAAGACUCAUUGUAUGUAUCUUUCUAGUGGUCAGUGACUGGGUCUCUCUUCUCUUCUCUUCUUUUUUGAAAGGACAUAUAUGAGAUGUUUAUUUGUAGGAAAGUUGAAUUAAAGAUUUCUCCUUUCACCA